UACGUAGGGUGCAAGCGUUAUCCGGAGUUACUGGGCGUAAAGCGUGCGCAGGCGGUCUGUUAAGACCGAUGUGAAAUCCCCGGGCUUAACCUGGGAACUGCAUUGGUGACUGGCAGGCUUUGAGUGUGGCAGAGGGAGGUAGAAUUCCACGUGUAGCAGUGAAAUGCGUAGAUAUCGAGAGGAACACCUGCGGCGAAGGCGGGUUGCUGGGCUGACACUGACGCUGAGGCGCGAAAGCUAGGGGAGCGAACGGG
rnacentral:rRNA from 1 species